rnacentral:rRNA from 1 species
UACGGAGGGGGCUAGCGUUGUUCGGAAUUACUGGGCGUAAAGCGCACGUAGGCGGCUUUGCAAGUUAGAGGUGAAAGCCCGGGGCUCAACUCCGGAAUUGCCUUUAAAACUGCAUCGCUAGAAUUGUGGAGAGGUAAGUGGAAUUCCGAGUGUAGAGGUGAAAUUCGUAGAUAUUCGGAAGAACACCAGUGGCGAAGGCGACUUACUGGACACAUAUUGACGCUGAGGUGCGAAAAGCGUGGGGAGCAAACAGG